UGUCUCCGACGGCCGGUCCACAAGCUCUGCCGCGUCGUUUCACCCUGUCAAGGAUAUUGAUUCAGUAACCGUCCAAGGUUAGAAAACCCGUGAGCGUGCAGCUGAAGAAGACCUUCCAAAACCUUCUCUGAAGUUAACCCCCGAAAUCCUCGCCCUACAUGCCCCAGGAAUUGCGUCUCCGAUUGGAUUAUCAAAACUACUGAGCCUGCCGAGUGUGCACAGCGGACUUGGGCACAGCGAGCUUGAUUACAUGUUAGCAGGGUAGUUCAUUUCUUUGGGAGAUGUGGGGAAAUGGAAAUCUCACUCACUGACCUAGAAUGAGAGGGGAGAGAUGAGUGCCAGCACCCUGCUCUUUAUGUCCUUCCCUCUCCAACCUGUGUCGUGGAGUAUUCACCAGAGAAGACUUCUUGGACAUGAAUUUCAGGCAACUGAAAGUCUUCAUUAGCCGGCAGUGACCACACUGAGUUUCAGGAUCCAAGUGUAGCACCGAACCUUUCACAGGCAAGUCUACAUGUUGAGUUUUUGUCCUGAAUGGUACUUCCACCAUGGACUCUGUUGUGCUAAGGUCUGGGGGCCUACUAAGGUCUGGAGCCCUGUUAUAGCACUAAACUUCCAUGGGCAUUGUUCUCUGGAGGAUGGAAACCCAAGUAUGACUCUCCAACACGUNUUUUUGCCACACCCAAAUAUCCAUUUACCCCAGUAUGGCAUCUCUGAGGGUGGAACUAAGGGUAAGCUAAUCUGUGUUUCCUGGCCAGUCACUCAAAUUUGGUUCCAGAAUAAACUAUCUUAUACCCUUUU
ensembl:processed_transcript